rnacentral:rRNA from 1 species
GUGGGUACCUACCUUAGGGUUCGGGAUAGCCAUCAGAGAUGGUGGGUAAUACCGGAUGACGUCGUGAGACCAAAGAUUUAUCGCCCCGAGAGGGGCCCACGUGAUAUUAGCUAGUUGGUGAGGUAACGGCUCACCAAGGCGAAGAUGUCUAGCGGGUGUGAGAGCACGACCCGCGCCACUCGCACUGAGACACUGGCGAGACACCUACGGGUGGCUGCAGUCGAGGAUCUUCGGCAAUGGGCGCAAGCCUGACCGAGCGACGCCGCGUGAGCGAUGAAGGCCUUCGGGUUGUAAAGCUCUUUAGUGGGGGAGAAAAGCCCGCAAGGGUGUGAUCUAUCCCAAAAAUAAGCACGGGCUAAGUUCGUGCCAGCAGCCGCGGUAAGACGAACCGUGCGAACGUUGUUCGGAAUCACUGGGCUUAAAGGGCGCGUAGGCGGGCUGUCAAGUCUGGGGUGAAAUGCCACGGCUCAACCGUGGAACUGCCUCAGAUACUGACGGCCUC